rnacentral:lncRNA from 1 species
ACUCGAUUGCCUUUUUCAUCAAUUUGCGGGGAGCGUCUGUCACCGCGGCCCCUCGAGCCAGACCCCGCCGGCCCGACCCCUGGGGGUCAAAGGUCAGCCGGCCACUCUGCCAUUACCGCGGCUCAUCAACACCCGGCGAACCAGACUCCAUUUUAAUUACGCGAUGCAGGCUACGGGGAAUUGUCAGCUCUUGUCCCGCUAGCUGUUGCCGUGGUGACCGGUGUGGAGAUAAUAGCAGUUAAUGAGAUAUUAACCCCGAAUAAGGAAGAAGACAGGAAGUGAUGAGCGUUUGCUGGAAAGACUAAAGACAGGAUUCGUCAAUGGAUGACCCCUUCCAGAUCAAUAUUGUUCUGUUAUUCGGCGUAGGUAACAAGCAGCGCGACCCCGUCCCUUUGAGACUGAGGAGCAAAUAACCACAAUCAAAGGAUGGCGCCGGCAAGCGUCUCCCUCCGAGUCCUUGCACACCAAUCUCGUCAUCCCAGAGGUUCAAAGAUGAAGAUUGGUGAGCUGAAAGAGCAAUGGAUGGAUUCAAACCUGUACUUUCCAGGAAGUUAACAAGUUAAGGUUCAAGGCUGUGUCCAAAAACAACAGGUUUGGUUUGAAAGGUAAGAGAAUCUAUUUUAGUAUCCUGUCGUCCUGCUGUCUGUUCAUGGGUGUGUGUUUUUUGUGUGUGUGUGACUGAUCAGAAGUCCACUAUGGCCUAUAAGCCAACGAUGUCAGACAAAGCAACCACCGCAGCAGGUUGCAGAGUAGUUAUAAAGGGAUAGACAUUACAGAAGGGAAAAAGAACAUAUUGCUAUUGAUGAGACCCGCCGUGCGCCAUAUUCUUCACCUCUCCUUCAAAUCCACGCACACCUCCC